rnacentral:rRNA from 1 species
UACGGGGGGGCUAGCGUUGUUCGGAAUUACUAGGCGUAAAGGGCGCGUAGGCGGCCUACUAAGUCGGACGUGAAAUCCCUCGGCUCAACCGGGGAACUGCGUCCGAUACUGGUGGCUCGAAUCCGGGAGAGGAUGUGGAAUUCCAGGGUGUAGCGGUGAAAUGCGUAGAUAUCAAGAGGAACACCUGCGGCGAAGGCGGGUUGCUGGGCCGACACUGACGCUGAUGACGCGAAAGCUAGGGGAGCGAACGGG